GACGGAGGAUGCAAGCGUUAUCCGGAAUUAUUGGGCGUAAAGCGUCCGCAGGUGGACAUACAAGUCUGCUGUCAAAGUGCAGAGCUUAACUCUGUAAAGGCGGUGGAAACUGGAGGUCUUGAGUAUGGUAGGGGUAGAGGGAAUUCCCGGUGUAGCGGUGAAAUGCGUAGAUAUCGGGAAGAACACCAGUGGCGAAAGCGCUCUACUGGGCCAUAACUGACACUGAGGGACGAAAGCUAGGGGAGCGAAAGGG
rnacentral:rRNA from 1 species